rnacentral:rRNA from 1 species
UCGGGAAUUUUGGGCAAUGGGCGAAAGCCUGACCCAGCAACGCCGCGUGAAGGAUGAAGUAUUUCGGUAUGUAAACUUCGUAAGAAUAGGAAGAAUAAAUGACGGUACUAUUUGUAAGGUCCGGCUAACUACGUGCCAGCAGCCGCGGUAAUACGUAGGGACCAAGCGUUGUUCGGAUUUACUGGGCGUAAAGGGCGCGUAGGCGGUUUGUCAAGUCAGUUGUGAAAUCUCCGAGCUUAACUCGGAACGGUCAACUGAUACUGUCAAACUAGAGUACAGAAGGGGCAAUCGGAAUUCUUGGUGUAGCGGUGAAAUGCGUAGAUAUCAAGAGGAACACCUGAGGCGAAGGCGGU